GAAAGAUGAGAGAAAAAUUGAAAAUUCAUCGCGAGGUAGCGCGUACAAGAUUCUAACGAAUAGUAAUCGGACGAAACGAACUAAAAUAAAAUAGAAUAAAUAUAACCGCACAUAACGUGCACACAUCGUAUAACGUAUAGCGCGCGGUACCGCGCUGCGGAGGGUAAUAGGGAAAGAGAGACGAGGGAUAGAAGUCGGGACGGAUCCGUCCGAUACACGUCAGACCUGCGCAGGCAGUGCCGCGAGAGGAGAUCGGUGUCAUUGUCAGUGGCUGCCGUUUCGCUUACGCUCGUGUAACGUAACCCUCCAGGGUGGAAAAUCGUUGCGCAAGGUAUCGAUGGAUAUCGUGUGUCAAAGUGACAGCGAGAGAGGAUCAGCGUGACACGGCGACACAAAUUGUGUGUGAAUGAGGUGAAUGUGAAUAAUAGUUUACGGUAGGUGACAGGGGUCUGGGGCUGGGAGGGGGGGGGCAGUCGACCCUCCACCGCCCCCUAGGUCCCCUCCGUAUAAAUCGUACGUCAUCGUCCAGCGAGGUACCCAUGUU
rnacentral:misc_RNA from 1 species